GUCUCCGUAGUUUAAUGGAUAGAAUUUCAGAUUCCGGUUCUGACGAUGUGGGUUCGACUCCCGCCGGGGACA
rnacentral:tRNA from 1 species